CUACGGGAGGCAGCAGUAGGGAAUAUUGGACAAUGGCUGAAAAGCUGAUCCAGCCAUCCCGCGUGAAGGCAGAAGGUCCUAUGGAUUGUAAACUUCUUUUCUCUGGGAAGAAAAUACCCCGUUCUCGGGGAGCUGACGGUACCAGAGGAAUAAGCACCGGCUAACUCCGUGCCAGCAGCCGCGGUAAUACGGAGGGUGCAAGCGUUAUCCGGAUUCACUGGGUUUAAAGGGUGCGUAGGCGGACUUAUAAGUCAGUGGUGAAAGCCCGGGGCUCAACUCCGGAAUUGCCGUUGAUACUGUAAGUCUCGAGUACAGUUGAGGUGGGCGGAAUACAUCAUGUAGUGGUGAAAUACUUAGAUAUGAUGUAGAACACCGAUUGCGAAGGCAGCUCACUAAAGUGUAACUGACGCUGAGGCACGAAAGCGUGGGUAUCAAACAGGAUUAGAUACCCUGGUAGUCCACGCCUUAAACGAUGUUCACUCGACAUUGGCGAUAUACUGUCCAGUGUCCAAGCAAAAGCGUUAAGUGAACCACCUGGGGAGUACGUCCGCAAGGAUGAAACUCAAAGGAAUUGACGGGG
rnacentral:rRNA from 1 species